AGCAACGGCAAAUCUCUACGGCACUACUCCAACUUUAAUCGUCUGUCUUAUUUAAAAAUUUUUAAAAAACAUUUAAAAACAUAAGUCACAAGUAAAGCACUGUUCAUGUUUUAUCCUCUCGUAACAACAAAAAAUACUAAUUAUAAAAAAAUUUCAAAUAAGACGCACGAUUAAAGAUGAACACGAAAACUUAUGGUUACACUUAAA
rfam:Oryza glaberrima chromosome 4 Oglab04_0230_4, whole genome shotgun sequence.